GCUGGGCAUGGCGGCGCAUGCCUGUAAUCCCAGCUACUUGGGAGGCUGAGGCAGGAGAAUCGCUUGAACCAGGGAGUUGGAGAUUGCAGUGAGCCGAGAUUGUGCCACUGCACUCCAGCCUGGUGACAGAGUGAGACUCUGACUAAA
rfam:Pan troglodytes isolate Yerkes chimp pedigree #C0471 (Clint) chromosome 9, whole genome shotgun sequence.